rnacentral:rRNA from 1 species
AUUGAACGCUGGCGGCAGGCCUAACACAUGCAAGUCGAACGAGCGGAGGACGGGGGAGUAAUGUCUGGGAAACUGCCUGAUGGAGAGGGAUAAAUACUGGAAACGGUAGAUACUACCGCAUAACAUCAGAUGUGACCAGAUGGGAUUAGCUAGUAGGUGGGGUAACGGCUCACCUAGGCGACGAUCCCUAGCUGGUCUGAGAGGAUGCCCCGCCACACUGGAACUGAGACACGGUCCAGACUCCUACGGGAGGCAGCAGGGGGGAAUAUUGCACAAUGGGCGCAAGCCUGAUGCAGCCAUGCCGCGUGUGUGAAGAAGGCCUUCGGGUUGUAAAGCACUUUCAGCGGGGAGGCGUUACCCGCAGAAGAAGCACCGGCUAACUCCGUGCCAGCAGCCGCGGUAAUAC